AGCGUACACGGUGGAUGCCCUGGCAGUCAGAGGCGAUGAAGGACGUGCUAAUCUGCGAUAAGCGUCGGUAAGGUGAUAUGAACCGUUAUAACCGGCGAUUUCCGAAUGGGGAAACCCAGUGUGAUUCGUCACACUAUCAUUAACUGAAUCCAUAGGUUAAUGAGGCGAACCGGGGGAACUGAAACAUCUAAGUACCCCGAGGAAAAGAAAUCAACCGAGAUUCCCCCAGUAGCGGCGAGCGAACGGGGAGCAGCCCAGAGCCUGAAUCAGUGUGUGUGUUAGUGGAAGCGUCUGGAAAGGCGCGCGAUACAGGGUGACAGCCCCGUACACAAAAAUGCACAUACUGUGAGCUCGAUGAGUAGGGCGGGACACGUGGUAUCCUGUCUGAAUAUGGGGGGACCAUCCUCCAAGGCUAAAUACUCCUGACUGACCGAUAGUGAACCAGUACCGUGAGGGAAAGGCGAAAAGAACCCCGGCGAGGGGAGUGAAAAAGAACCUGAAACCGUGUACGUACAAGCAGUGGGAGCACGCUUAGGCGUGUGACUGCGUACCUUUUGUAUAAUGGGUCAGCGACUUAUAUUCUGUAGCAAGGUUAACCGAAUAGGGGAGCCGAAGGGAAACCGAGUCUUAACUGGGCGUUAAGUUGCAGGGUAUAGACCCGAAACCCGGUGAUCUAGCCAUGGGCAGGUUGAAGGUUGGGUAACACUAACUGGAGGACCGAACCGACUAAUGUUGAAAAAUUAGCGGAUGACUUGUGGCUGGGGGUGAAAGGCCAAUCAAACCGGGAGAUAGCUGGUUCUCCCCGAAAGCUAUUUAGGUAGCGCCUCGUGAAUUCAUCUCCGGGGGUAGAGCACUGUUUCGGCAAGGGGGUCAUCCCGACUUACCAACCCGAUGCAAACUGCGAAUACCGGAGAAUGUUAUCACGGGAGACACACGGCGGGUGCUAACGUCCGUCGUGAAGAGGGAAACAACCCAGACCGCCAGCUAAGGUCCCAAAGUCAUGGUUAAGUGGGAAACGAUGUGGGAAGGCCCAGACAGCCAGGAUGUUGGCUUAGAAGCAGCCAUCAUUUAAAGAAAGCGUAAUAGCUCACUGGUCGAGUCGGCCUGCGCGGAAGAUGUAACGGGGCUAAACCAUGCACCGAAGCUGCGGCAGCGACACUAUGUGUUGUUGGGUAGGGGAGCGUUCUGUAAGCCUGUGAAGGUGUGCUGUGAGGCAUGCUGGAGGUAUCAGAAGUGCGAAUGCUGACAUAAGUAACGAUAAAGCGGGUGAAAAGCCCGCUCGCCGGAAGACCAAGGGUUCCUGUCCAACGUUAAUCGGGGCAGGGUGAGUCGACCCCUAAGGCGAGGCCGAAAGGCGUAGUCGAUGGGAAACAGGUUAAUAUUCCUGUACUUGGUGUUACUGCGAAGGGGGGACGGAGAAGGCUAUGUUGGCCGGGCGACGGUUGUCCCGGUUUAAGCGUGUAGGCUGGUUUUCCAGGCAAAUCCGGAAAAUCAAGGCUGAGGCGUGAUGACGAGGCACUACGGUGCUGAAGCAACAAAUGCCCUGCUUCCAGGAAAAGCCUCUAAGCAUCAGGUAACAUCAAAUCGUACCCCAAACCGACACAGGUGGUCAGGUAGAGAAUACCAAGGCGCUUGAGAGAACUCGGGUGAAGGAACUAGGCAAAAUGGUGCCGUAACUUCGGGAGAAGGCACGCUGAUAUGUAGGUGAAGUCCCUCGCGGAUGGAGCUGAAAUCAGUCGAAGAUACCAGCUGGCUGCAACUGUUUAUUAAAAACACAGCACUGUGCAAACACGAAAGUGGACGUAUACGGUGUGACGCCUGCCCGGUGCCGGAAGGUUAAUUGAUGGGGUUAGCGCAAGCGAAGCUCUUGAUCGAAGCCCCGGUAAACGGCGGCCGUAACUAUAACGGUCCUAAGGUAGCGAAAUUCCUUGUCGGGUAAGUUCCGACCUGCACGAAUGGCGUAAUGAUGGCCAGGCUGUCUCCACCCGAGACUCAGUGAAAUUGAACUCGCUGUGAAGAUGCAGUGUACCCGCGGCAAGACGGAAAGACCCCGUGAACCUUUACUAUAGCUUGACACUGAACAUUGAGCCUUGAUGUGUAGGAUAGGUGGGAGGCUUUGAAGUGUGGACGCCAGUCUGCAUGGAGCCGACCUUGAAAUACCACCCUUUAAUGUUUGAUGUUCUAACGUUGACCCGUAAUCCGGGUUGCGGACAGUGUCUGGUGGGUAGUUUGACUGGGGCGGUCUCCUCCUAAAGAGUAACGGAGGAGCACGAAGGUUGGCUAAUCCUGGUCGGACAUCAGGAGGUUAGUGCAAUGGCAUAAGCCAGCUUGACUGCGAGCGUGACGGCGCGAGCAGGUGCGAAAGCAGGUCAUAGUGAUCCGGUGGUUCUGAAUGGAAGGGCCAUCGCUCAACGGAUAAAAGGUACUCCGGGGAUAACAGGCUGAUACCGCCCAAGAGUUCAUAUCGACGGCGGUGUUUGGCACCUCGAUGUCGGCUCAUCACAUCCUGGGGCUGAAGUAGGUCCCAAGGGUAUGGCUGUUCGCCAUUUAAAGUGGUACGCGAGCUGGGUUUAGAACGUCGUGAGACAGUUCGGUCCCUAUCUGCCGUGGGCGCUGGAGAACUGAGGGGGGCUGCUCCUAGUACGAGAGGACCGGAGUGGACGCAUCACUGGUGUUCGGGUUGUCAUGCCAAUGGCACUGCCCGGUAGCUAAAUGCGGAAGAGAUAAGUGCUGAAAGCAUCUAAGCACGAAACUUGCCCCGAGAUGAGUUCUCCCUGACUCCUUGA
rnacentral:rRNA from 1 species